CGGUGAAAGCAGAGCUUGCUCUGUGGAUCAGUGGCGAACGGGUGACUAUACGUGAGCAAUCUGCCCCUGACUCUGGGAUAAGCGCUGGAAACGGCGUCUAAUACCGGAUACGAGCUGCGAAGGCAUCUUCAGCAGCUGGAAAGAAUUUCGGUCAGGGAUGAGCUCGCGGCCUAUCAGCUUGUUGGUGAGGUAACGGCUCACCAAGGCGUCGACGGGUAGCCGGCCUGAGAGGGUGACCGGCCACACUGGGACUGAGACACGGCCCAGACUCCUACGGGAGGCAGCAGUGGGGAAUAUUGCACAAUGGGCGAAAGCCUGAUGCAGCAACGCCGCGUGAGGGACGACGGCCUUCGGGUUGUAAACCUCUUUUAGCAGGAAAGAAGCGAAAGUGACGGUACCUGCAGAAAAAGCGCCGGCUAACUACGUGCCAGCAGCCGCGGUAAUACGUAGGGCGCAAGCGUUAUCCGGAAUUAUUGGGCGUAAAGAGCUCGUAGGCGGUCUGUCGCGUCUGCUGUGAAAACCCGAGGCUCAACCUCGGGCCUGCAGUGGGUACGGGCAGACUAGAGUGCGGUAGGGGAGAUUGGAAUUCCUGGUGUAGCGGUGGAAUGCGCAGAUAUCAGGAGGAACACCGAUGGCGAAGGCAGAUCUCUGGGCCGUAACUGACGCUGAGGAGCGAAAGGGUGGGGAGCAAACAGGCUUAGAUACCCUGGUAGUCCACCCCGUAAACGUUGGGAACUAGUUGUGGGGUCCAUUCCACGGAUUCCGUGACGCAGCUAACGCAUUAAGUUCCCCGCCUGGGGAGUACGGCCGCAAGGCUAAAACUCAAAGGAAUUGACGGGGACCCGCACAAGCGGCGGAGCAUGCGGAUUAAUUCGAUGCAACGCGAAGAACCUUACCAAGGCUUGACAUAUACGAGAACGGGCCAGAAAUGGUCAACUCUUUGGACACUCGUAAACAGGUGGUGCAUGGUUGUCGUCAGCUCGUGUCGUGAGAUGUUUGGGUUAAGUCCCGCAACGAGCGCAACCCUCGUUCUAUGUUGCCAGCACGUAAUGGUGGGAACUCAUGGGAUACUGCCGGGGUCAACUCGGAGGAAAGGGGGGGGAUGACGUCAAAUCAUCAUGCCCCU
rnacentral:rRNA from 1 species